GAUGAACGCUAGCGGCAGGCCUAACACAUGCAAGUCGAGGGGUAGAACACUUCGGUGUUUGAGACCGGCGCACGGGUGCGUAACGCGUAUGCAAUCUACCUUGUACAGGGGAAUAGCCCCGAGAAAUUUGGAUUAAUGCACCAUAGUAUAAAAACUUCGCAUUAUGGUUAUAUUAAAGAUUCAACGGUACAAGAUGAGCAUGCGUCCCAUUAGUUAGUUGGUAAGGUAACGGCUUACCAAGACGAUGAUUGGUAGGGGUCCUGGGAGGGAGAUCCCCCACACUGGAACUGAGACACGGACCAGACUCCUACGGGAGGCAGCAGUGAGGAAUAUUGGUCAAUGGGCGCAAGCCUGAACCAGCCAUGCCGCGUGCAGGAAGACGGUCCUAUGGAUUGUAAACUGCUUUUAUACAGGAAGAAACCCUCCCACGUGUGGGAGAUUGACGGUACUGUAGGAAUAAGGAUCGGCUAACUCCGUGCCAGCAGCCGCAGUAAGAC
rnacentral:rRNA from 1 species